rnacentral:lncRNA from 1 species
GCCUAAUAAAGGUUUGAAUUUUUAUAGUCUGAAUUAAAAUAGUUCAAAAAAUUUAUAUGAUAUUUGUCCAAAAAAGAGGAAAUUUAAAAGUUAAAACCAAAAAAUUUAAAGAAAAAAAAUUAAAUUCAGUCAAUUUCAAUCUACUCCUAACUGAAAUAAAGCAGUAAAUUUUCUUUAUUGUCUUGAAGACAUCUUCCAUGUCUCAAAAUGGUAAGACAAACACAAUUGUUGAAGAGCAUCAAUGAAGCUUCUCAUGCGAAGGCUUGUCAACCAUAGCCAUUACCAUCUGCUUCCCUUCUUCCUUCAAUUUAGUAUACUUCAGUUCUCCAUCAUGUUCCUUAAUUUAAUUCAAGGAGAAAAAUAACGAUAAUGAGAAUAUAUAUAUGCAAAACAGGCAUGUAAAUGUAUAUAUGUACAUAUAUAGAGACGUAUAUAAGUAGACAUCACAAAUAUAAGUUAAUUUACCAGAAGUUUAAUAGAAUCAUAUGAGAGAAAAAGAUUAUCUCAACAACUAGGUUGACAGUUUCCAUACAUGCGUUUUCUCUCAACUGGCUUCGUGACUUGAGCUUCAAGUAAAUAAACUUGAUCAAGAGAAAUGAGUAUUUUAUCGGAAAGAUUUAUUUGGCUGUA